ensembl:lncRNA
CAGCACCUGACACACCACCCUGGGCCCUGGGUGAUAGAGCCAGACGCAGAGAUCCUCUCCUUCAUGCCUCACACCUGGUGCAGAUCUGGAGAGGCUUCCACCACAGACUGUUCGAACUUGAGAGAGGACAGAGCAAGUGCUAAACCAUCCGUUUGAAUGCUUGCAGUGGAUCCUUUGAAGAGCAGAGCAAAGCAGAGGUCUGGACAAAGCAGAGGCAGAAUUCACAGAGAGUGAGAGAGGGCUUCAGGCUAUCCCUACUCGCGGCUAGCAAAGUUGUUCUCCCCGUCGGGACUACAAGAACACAAUGGCAGGGGCUUUGUGUGCCACGCAGCAGGGACAAAUGUCUGCCAGGGAGCGGGGACACACCUGAAAGAGCAGAGAAGAAGAGGAGACGAGGAGAAGAUGAGAGGACCGCCACCCAGCCCUACACACUAGGAUUAGUCCCAUCCUCUGCCAGGGAGCGGGGACACACCUGAAAGAGAAGAGGAGAAGAGGAGAAGAGGAAAAGAGGAGAGGAGCGCCACCCAGCCCAUCCUCUGCUUUGAUGGAUUAGCGUGUAGGGAAAUUGCCCGAUUAUUGGUAUGAACAUUUUUGAAAGUCAAAGAGAUGUGAUAGGGGGAGAAAAUGGGUGAAAUUGUGUCUGACAAAAAGAGGGAGAAAGUGUUUGUGGUGCUUAUCUUUACCCCCUUCCCCUCCUCUCUCUCUUUUCCCUCCCUCCCUCCCUCCCCCUUUUGGAAAAGAGAUGGGUAAAAAAGACAAACGAGG